AGAACGAACGCUGGCGGCAGGCUUAACACAUGCAAGUCGAACGGUUGUAGCAAUACAGCAGUGGCAGACGGGUGAGUAACACGUGGGAACCUUCCUAGGGGUACGGAACAACUCAGGGAAACUUGAGCUAAUACCGUAUACGUCCGUGAGGAGAAAGAUUUAUCGCCCUUAGACGGGCCCGCGUAGGAUUAGGUAGUUGGUGGGGUAAUGGCCUACCAAGCCUACGAUCCUUAGCUGAUCUGAGAGGAUGAUCAGCCACACUGGGACUGAGACACGGCCCAGACUCCUACGGGAGGCAGCAGUGGGGAAUCUUGGACAAUGGGCGCAAGCCUGAUCCAGCCAUCGCCGCGUGAGUGAAGAAGGCCUUGGGUUGUAAGCUUCUUUUACCGAGGGACAGUAAU
rnacentral:rRNA from 1 species